rnacentral:rRNA from 1 species
UACGAAGGGUGCUAGCGUUGUUCGGAAUCACUGGGCGUAAAGCGCGCGUAGGCGGCGAUACAAGUCAGAGGUGAAAUCCCCAGGCUCAACCUGGGAAUUGCCUUUGAAACUGUAUUGCUAGAGUGUCGGAGGGGAUAGCGGAAUUGCUAAUGUAGAGGUGAAAUUCGUAGAUAUUAGCAGGAACACCGGUGGCGAAGGCGGCUAUCUGGACGACAACUGACGCUGAGGCGCGAAAGCGUGGGGAUCAAAC